ensembl:ncRNA F11D5.33 ncRNA
UGCGCGAGAAGGUCGUGUGCACAAUCUCCAUUUUUAUUGCUAAUUUAUGUCUUGACGCACAGACGUCAGGUACUCAAUUCUUGCAAAUCCAUAAUGUGACCAUAAAAAUUGUGCUGCUG